GAUGAACGCUAGCGGCAGGCCUAAUACAUGCAAGUCGAACGGUGUCUUCGGACAUAGUGGCGCACGGGUGCGUAACACGUAUGCAACCUACCUUACAUUGGGGGAUAGCCUUUCGAAAGGGAGAUUAAUACCGCAUAAGACAGUAGCUGGGCAUCCAGCAGCUGUUAAAGAUUUAUCGAUGUAAGCUGGGCAUGCGUCCAAUUAGCUAGUUGGUGAGGUAACGGCUCACCAAGGCAAUGAUUGGUAGGGGAACUGAGAGGUCAAUCCCCCACACUGGAAAUGAGAUACGGGCCAGACUCCUACGGGAGGCAGCAGUAGGGAAUAUUGGACAAUGGUCGCAAGACUGAUCCAGCCAUGCCGCGUGCAGGAAGACGGCCCUAUGGGUUGUAAACUGCUUUUGUACCAGAGAAAACCUACUCACGUGUGAGUAGCUGAUAGUAUGGUAAGAAUAAGCAUCGGCUAACUUCGUGCCAGCAGCCGCAGUAACAC
rnacentral:rRNA from 1 species